UAGGGAAUCUUCGGCAAUGGACGAAAGCCUGACCGAGCAACGCCGCGUGAGUGAAGAAGGUUUUCGGAUCGUAAAACUCUGUUGGUAGAGAAGAACGUUGGUGAGAGUGGAAAGCUCAUCAAGUGACGGUAACUACCCAGAAAGGGACGGCUAACUACGUGCCAG
rnacentral:rRNA from 1 species